rnacentral:rRNA from 1 species
CAGUGGGGAAUAUUGGACAAUGGGCGCAAGCCUGAUCCAGCAAUGCCGCGUGGGUGAAGAAGGUCUUCGGAUCGUAAAGCCCUUUCGACAGGGACGAUGAUGACGGUACCUGUAGAAGAAGCCCCGGCUAACUUCGUGCCAGCAGCCGCGGUAAUACGAAGGGGGCUAGCGUUGCUCGGAAUUACUGGGCGUAAAGGGCGCGUAGGCGGCUUAGUCAGUCAGGCGUGAAAUUCCUGGGCUUAACCUGGGGGCUGCGUUUGAGACGGCUGAGCUAGAGGGUAGGAGAGGGUCGUGGAAUUCCCAGUGUAGAGGUGAAAUUCGUAGAUAUUGGGAAGAACACCGGUGGCGAAGGCGGCGACCUGGCCUAUUACUGACGCUGAGGCGCGACAGCGUGGGGAGCAAACAGGAUUAGAUACCCCAGUAGUC